GCCGGGCACGGUGGUGCAUGCCUGUAAUCUCAGCUCAGAAGGCUGAGACAGGAGGAUUGCAAGUUCAAAGGCAGCCUCAGUAACAGUGAGGUGCUAAGCAACUCAGUGAGACCCUAUCUCUA
rnacentral:sRNA from 1 species